rnacentral:rRNA from 1 species
GACAGAGGAUGCAAGCGUUAUCCGGAAUGAUUGGGCGUAAAGCGUCUGUAGGUGGUUCGAAAAGUCCACUGUUAAAAAUUGAGGCUUAACUUCAAAGAUGCCGUGGAAACUUUUAAACUUGAGUAUGAUAGGGGUAGAGGGAAUUUCCAGUGGAGCGGUGAAAUGCGUAGAUAUUGGAAAGACCACCAAUGGCGAAGGCACUCUACUGGGCCAUUACUGACACUGAGAGACGAAAGCUAGGGGAGCGAAUGGG